rnacentral:rRNA from 1 species
GUGGGGAAUAUUGGACAAUGGGCGCAAGCCUGAUCCAGCCAUGCCGCGUGUGUGAAGAAGGCCUUUUGGUUGUAAAGCACUUUAAGCGAGGAGGAGGCUCCUUUAGUUAAUACCUAAAGAGAGUGGACGUUACUCGCAGAAUAAGCACCGGCUAACUCUGUGCCAGCAGCCGCGGUAAUACAGAGGGUGCGAGCGUUAAUCGGAUUUACUGGUCGUAAAGCGUGCGUAGGCGGCUUUUUAAGUCGGAUGUGAAAUCCCUGGGCUUAACUUAGGAGUUGCAUUCGAUACUGGAAAGCUGGAGUAUGGGAGAGGAUGGUAGAAUUCCAGGUGUAGCGGUGAAAUGCGUAGAGAUCUGGAGGAAUACCGAUGGCGAAGGCAGCCAUCUGGCCUAAUACUGACGCUGAGGUACGAAAGCAUGGGGAGCAAACAGGAUUAGAUACCCCAGUAGUCC